GUUUUGGAGAAGGUACCAUGAGGUGCUGAAAAGAAGACGCAGAGGAAUGCUUCAGUCUCCAGAAAGGGACAGAUUAAACCUCAAGAUUAAAACGAGUUUCCUCAGCAGCAACAGGAAAGAAGCAAGCCCUGUCCCCUUAAAGGAAAGUUUAUGCUUUCAAUCUUGUGUUUCAAGUCAUUGGCCAUUAUUUGGCUAUAGAUGAUACUAUGUCUAAAUAUGACCAUAAUAUAGUUUGAAGAAAACAAAGCAAGGGACACGACUCUGGGUUUUUAGACCUUCUGACAUGCAGGACUCUUGCUCUAAAAUAUGUUUGGUGUUUAAAUUUCCUACACAUUUCCCUGGAACCUAUGAUACCAGGAAAAACGGAUCUCUGUGAAAUUCCGUUUUAGUGGCUUGCUAGAGACAAUCAUUUGCAAAUACUUGUACCCAGGAGCUUAUGCCAUGAUUAUGCCAUGCAGAGGAGUGCCAUGCUAUAGUCUUUUCUCAUGAUUACUCAAUAUGCUUUUAAAGAUACUAGAAUCAAAACACUAUCCAAAGGGAUACAGUUGAUCCUAAUCUUGAUUGUACCAGCUAAACAUUUGGAGAGGAUACAAUAUGGAUUCCCCUCCCAUACUGGCUAAUUCCCUUCUUACACGGGUCUUAUAUAUUAUGCUUAAGUGGUGACUUUGCUAUGAGAGGAGAACUAUUAUUCACCUUUCUUGUAACAGAUUACCUGACAAGAAGCAAUUUAAGGAUUUGAGAGAUUACCAUCUAUCCCGCAGAAAUGCAUGGCAGCAUGAAUGAGAAGCAGCUGGUUACUGUCCUUUGUCAUCCAGCACAGAGAGAUGGAGGGUGGUUCUCUGAUCAUUCAGUUUGGUUUCACUCUCAUAGCCACUCACUGACAUCUUGAAGCUUACGCGACAACAUCUUACUCAUUAAUGAUUUUUGUAGGUAGAGUGUAUACCAUGAAUUCAUGAGGAUCAGAGUCACAAGAAUCCACAUAAAACUUGAUAUGGUGAUACAUGUGUAUAAUCUCAGCACUUCUAUAGCAAGAUAGAAGAUAAAGGCAGAGUCCCUGGAAGCCCAUUGGCCAAUUAUCCUGGCAUCUGAAGUAUCAAAAAAAGAGAUUCUGUCUCAGAUAAGAAUGAAGAGGCCACAGUAUCUACCAGCAGGCAAACCAGAAUGGAUUUUGUGUAACACUUCCUUCAAGCAUACAAUAAGCAGAACUUAAGCCAAAUUCCCAAGCUGUUAUGAAAUAGGAGAUGGAGAAGAUUCAUGUAUCUAUAAGGGAAGUACCCAAGAGGAAACACCAAAUCUAAGAGGCAAAAGGCCAUUCUUCCUAGUCUCAAGCAAUUCACUUGCACUUGCAGUAGAGUCGUAUUUAAGAACUGGACUGUUUAAACAACACCUGAUAUAGGAAAUGAAGGUUGCCACAUUUUCAUCCAUCUACAUGCCUUCAUCAUUUGUAUGGAUGAGCUGUCAUUCAAGGGAGGGAAAAUGCAUCUGAAGUAAUACUCUCAGCUGAUUACUGACUGAUUAAAGUGAAAGGAGACUCAGCUUUGGCCACUACACAGACCAGAUACGGCUGGCUUGCUGCCUCCCUGAACGACACACCUCACACAGCUGAGAAAGCCAAAGGGCAGAAACCAAAGAAGAUUAAAAUAAUGCAGAUUAACAACAUGCUGACUGCAGAAGACAUGAUGGAACUGGAGAAUCCAACAGAGCUCGCAAGGACUACGACCAACCAAAGAAUACACAUGGAGGGACCCAUGACUCCAGCUGCAUAUGUACCAGAGGAUGGCAUUAUCUCGCAUCA
rnacentral:sRNA from 1 species